GGACAUCUUCACGCUUCCCCCGCAGCGCGGAGCUCAGAGCACGGACUGUAGGGGUGAUGCGAAGGGGCGAGAGCUCCUCGAUGUUCUCCAUCAUCACCACCACCACAGCACAAACAGUAAGGUGAGACGUGUUGUUGGGGUAAUUGAACGCAACCCCAGGAUGCACAACUGGCAGGAGAACGAAAUCCGAAGACUGCUGAGGAUCCGCAACUUGAUCGCGGGCACGGCGAGAACUCCGCGGUUUACCGGCGGAUAAACAGCUGCUGGCGGAGAGGGUCGUCCGCGGGUCACUGUACCACGAGCAGAAGACCCGCUGCGGGACCGAGCGCGUCGGCUAGCUGAUACGUAGACAGCGACGUAAUCUUCGAAAUGCCCAGGCGGGGAACCCUGUGAAGCGCUAUCCCCAGCACCUACACCCGCCACGCCCACCUCCGCACCGAAGUGCAGUCAGGGACGAAAUGGACGACAGACAGCUCAACAAGCACCUGGGCCCAGCGGAGGUGGAUUACGACGAGGACCAGUACAGCCCCCCAGAACACGUGCACACAAUCAGCCCCCACACGCAAUUCCAUCAGAGAGAAGGAAAACGCCGGUGAUGGAGGAAGUCUCCACAUCAGUGUUGGCGACGGACGCCCAGAUCAGAGAGAUGGACGCCUGUUUGCAGAGGUUAAAGGAGCAUGAGAGGGAAAUGAAGAACAGUCUCAUGAGCCAGUUCAUAGCCAUGAAUGAAAGAAUAGGACAUGACACCUCAAACUUGUGAAAGACUACUGUCCAAGUUUCCUUUGCCUUUGGCUCCUUCAGGCUGCUGACUGACUCGUUCUUGUGAGAAUGGCACUUGUUCACCAGCUGUCCAGUGCCUCAGCCUAAAUUAACCUCAACUCUGUUCAGUUGUAGCUACUACUGAUCCAGGUCAUGUUCACACUUUUGUUUUCUGUGAAUUGAUUUCAGUCGUUAGUUAACCAGUACAUGCUUUUAGAUGCAUACUGUAUUUCAGUUUUAUUGUACCAGCAAAGCAAAUGUAGAAAAUGAAUAGCUGGUCUUUCUGGUUCUGCCUUUGCUUUUUGAUAACACAGCCUACUGUGGAAGACUAAAUUGAGUGGCUUUCCUUGUGUCAAAGAGUGCUGUGUGUUUUCUUUUCUUUUAAAUUUCCCUGAGCGCGCUCACCUUCUGUGUAGCUGUGUGUAACUCAGAUUUUCAUUUUGUCUACAAAUGACUGUAAGCAAGAAAGAAAAUGCAGUAGGCAUGUUUGGCUUUUCUAAAAAAUUCUUUUCUAUAGAAAUGCGGGUGGUUUGAUCUACAUUCCUCUUCACUCUCAGUGCUUUUGAACCAUUUAAGCUUCACCA